GCGGAUGGCCGGAUGACCGCGGGGGGCGACCUUCGAGGAAAGUCCGGACUCCAUGAAGCAAGGGUGCCGGGUAACGCCCGGCGGGGGCAACCCCAGGGAAAGCGCCACAGAGAAGAGUCUGCCCCGCUUGCGGGGUGAUGGUGAAACGGUGGGGUAAGAGCCCACCGCGGACUUGGCAACAAGGACGGCACGGCAAGCCCCACCCGGAGCAAUGCCGAAUAGGGGCCUCGCGCGGAAAGGUCUGGCGAUCGUCAGAGACCUCCGCAGGGACGCUUCAGCCCAGAGGCCCGGGUUGGCAGCUUGACCGCCGUGGCAACACGGACGGCAGAGGAAUGGUCAUCCAAGGGGGCAACCCCGGGACAGAAUCCGGCUUACAGGCUAUCCGCGCGU
rnacentral:RNase_P_RNA from 2 species